CACUAAGAGAACCUCACUCUUAGCAGUACCUGCCCAGUGCAAAAUUGUAAACGGCCGCCCUAGCGUGAGGGUGCCAAGGUAGCGAAAUUCCUUGCCUUUUAAUUGUAGGCCUGCAUGAAUGGAUUGACGAGGGCCAGUCUGUCUCUUGCUUUGUGUAGUGAAAUUGGGCUGAAGGUGAAGAUACCUUCAUAUAAAAGUUAGACAAGAAGACCCCGUGCAGCUUUUAAAAAAAUUUGUUAAUUAAGAGCAGUAGAUUUUUAGGUGGGGCGCCUAGGAAGUAAAACUUAACCUUCAUUAUAAUUUCUUUUGAAUUAAAAUAACUUUCUGGUGUAGACCCGGCAAGUCCGAUCGUAGGAGAAGUUACGCCGGGGAUAACAGGCUUAUCCAUUAGUAGAGCUCGUAUUGGCUAAUGGGAUUGGCACCUCGAUGUUGAAUUAAGGAUGAUAGCUCUAAGGCGUAGAAGCUUUAGAAUGUGGGUCUGUUCGACCUUUAAUACCUU
rnacentral:rRNA from 1 species